rnacentral:rRNA from 1 species
CCCUUAGAUGUUCUGGGCCGCACGCGCGCUACACUGAUGCAUUCAACGAGUCUAAAACCUGCUCUGAUAGGGGUGGGUAAUCUUUUGAAUGUGCAUCGUGAUUGGGAUAGAUGAUUGCAAUUUUUCAUCUUCAACGAGGAAUGCCUAGUAAACGCAAGUCAUCAGCUUGCAUUGAUUACGUCCCUGCCCUUUGUACACACAGCCCGUCGCUCCUACCGAUUGAAUGAUCCGAUGAAUAUCAUGGAUUGAGGAUGCAAGCAGGUUCGCCUGUCUUCAUCUUCGAGAAGUGAAGUAAAUCUUAUCAUUUAGAGGAAGGAGAAGUCGUAACA